UACGGCCACAUCACGCCAAAUCACUGGUUCCCGUACGAUCACCGAAGUUAACCAACGUAGAACCUGAUCAGUACUUAGAUGGGUGACCGCUUGGGAAUAUCAGGUGCU